AAUAAGAUGCCUGAAAUAAAAGGACUAUUUUGAUAGAAUAGACAAUGUAAAUUUUUUACUCUUAUUA
rnacentral:tRNA from 1 species